rnacentral:rRNA from 1 species
GACGAACGCUGGCGGCGUGCUUAACACAUGCAAGUCGAACGAAGUGGCGAACGGGUGAGUAAUACGUGAGUAACCUGCCCUCCUUUUUGGGAUAAGCCAUGGCAACGGGGUCUAAUACCCGAUAAUGGGGGAUGGGCUCGCGGCCUAUCAGCUUGUUGGUGGGGUAGGUGCCUACCACGGCGGUGCAGGGUAGCCGGCCUGAGAGGGUGACCGGCCACAUUGGGACUGAGAUACGGCCCAUACUCCUACGGUAGGCAGCAGUGGGGAAUAUUGCACAAUGGGCGCAAGCCUGAUGCAGCCAGGCCGCGUGUAUGAAGAAGGCCUUAGGGUUGUAAAGUACUUUCGGCGGGGAGGCGUUACCCGCAGAAGAAGCACCGGCUAACUCCGUGCCAGCAGCCGCGGUAAUAC